UUUCAACAAUGGAUCUCUUGGCUCUGGCAUCGAUGAAGAACGCAGCGAAAUGCGAUAAGUAGUGUGAAUUGCAGAAUUCAGUGAAUCAUCGAAUCUUUGAACGCACAUUGCGCCCCUUGGUAUUCCAUGGGG
rnacentral:rRNA from 1 species